UACGUAGGGGGCAAGCGUUAUCCGGAUUUACUGGGUGUAGAGGGAGCGUAGACGGAAUUGCAAGUCUGAUGUGAAAAUCCGGGGCCCAACCCCGGAACUGCAUUGGAAACUGUAUUUCUAGAGUGUCGGAGAGGCAAGUGGAAUUCCUGGUGUAGCGGUGAAAUGCGUAGAUAUCAGGAGGAACACCAGUGGCGAAGGCGGCUUGCUGGACGAUGACUGACGUUGAGGCUCGAAAGCGUGGGGAGCAAACAGG
rnacentral:rRNA from 1 species